ACUUGGUAUGAAAAAUUCAGUAGGUGAAAGUGUGAAAUCAGUGGUAGAAUUUUGCCGUAAUGUGCUGUCGUGGACGCCAUGAUAUGUUGGUUAACAUUGAAGAGAACUCGCCAAUUGGGAUGUUCAAAAGGCAGGGUUGCAUUUAGCCGAAUGCAUAAAAAAGUAUUACUUCUUCUCACGGAGCGGACAUAUUGAGAGAUAUGGGUUUUUUGUUAAGUUGGUGGGAAAAGGUGUAUGGGAGUAAUUGAGUUAACCCGGUAAGGAAUUUUUUUUCGCAGUUUUUAAUUUUCAACUAGUUUCAUCAUCAAACAAGCUAGUUAACCAUUAUAGCCAGAUAUGUGGCUAACCCUGUCAUUGUUUACAUUGCGACUGCUGGAAAUUUUUUGUUUGUGGUGUUUCUCAAUGCCGCCUGUAUCCGGGUUUGGAAAAAUGGGACACAUCAGAAUGCUUCAGAUGUUGCAAUUAGCAACUCACAUACUAUCCUCAUCGCAGGAUUUGCGCGUUGCUAAUUGCAAAUUACUAACACAGCUAAAGAUUUUGUUUUCAAUUGCAA